rnacentral:rRNA from 1 species
UGGGGAAUUUUGGACAAUGGGGGAAACCCUGAUCCAGCCAUCCCGCGUGUGCGAUGAAGGCCUUCGGGUUGUAAAGCACUUUUGGCAGGAAAGAAACGUCAUGGGUUAAUACCCCGUGAAACUGACGGUACCUGCAGAAUAAGCACCGGCUAACUACGUGCCAGCAGCCGCGGUAAUACGUAGGGUGCAAGCGUUAAUCGGAAUUACUGGGCGUAAAGCGUGCGCAGGCGGUUCGGAAAGAAAGAUGUGAAAUCCCAGGGCUCAACUUUGGAACUGCAUUUUUAACUACCGGGCUAGAGUGUGUCAGAGGGAGGUGGAAUUCCGCGUGUAGCAGUGAAAGGCGUAGGUAUGCGGAGGAACACCGAUGGCGAAGGCAGCCUCCUGGGAUAACACUGACGCUCAUGCACGAAAGCGUGGGGAGCAAACAGG